rnacentral:rRNA from 1 species
AUUGAACGCUGGCGGCAUGCCUUACACAUGCAAGUCGAACGGCAGCACGGGGGCAACCCUGGUGGCGAGUGGCGAACGGGUGAGUAAUGCAUCGGAACGUGCCCAGUAGUGGGGGAUAACCAGUCGAAAGACUGGCUAAUACCGCAUACGACCUACGGGUGAAAGCGGGGGACCGCAAGGCCUCGCGCUAUUGGAGCGGCCGAUGUCUGAUUAGCUAGUUGGCGGGGUAAAGGCCCACCAAGGCGACGAUCAGUAGCUGGUCUGAGAGGACGACCAGCCACACUGGGACUGAGAAACGGCCCAGACUCCUACGGGAGGCAGCAGUGGGGAAUUUUGGACAAUGGGCGCAAGCCUGAUCCAGCCAUGCCGCGUGCGGGAAGAAGGCCUUCGGGUUGUAAACCGCUUUUGGCAGGAACGAAACGGCGCAAGCCAAUACCUUGCGCUAAUGACGGUACCUGCAGAAUAAGCACCGGCUAACUACGUGCCAGCCGCCGCAGUAACAC